GGUGGAGUUAAACCUGCAAGGUCAUUAUUGCAGUUUCGAAAAAACUGCAAUAAUUACACUUGCAGGGUUAAGAGUAGUGGGAGUUGGCACCCAAAACCACUCCAAUGGGCAGAAGUGGUCUGGGUGCCUGGAGUGUCCUUUUAAGCUGUAGUGGGUCUGGUGACUAGAAUGUUCUUUUAAAUUAUGUACAUGCUGCUAGCUUGACAAACAAUUCUUGAUUUAUUAAACCGUUUAGUAAAGGUUUUAACCCUCACCUGGAUACUCUCUGGGCUUCUCGUCAUCUCUCAUCGUUGGUGACAAGUUUCUGGCUUCUGCAGAGAUGCUGAUGCAGUUGCC